rnacentral:rRNA from 1 species
AGAACGAACGCUGGCGGCAGGCCUCAAACAUGCAAGUCUAAGGGGAUAGCAAUAUCACCGGCGGACGGGUGCGUAACGCGUGGGAAUGUACCUAUUGGUUCGGAACAACACAGGGAAACUUGUGCUAAUACCGAAUGUGCCCGUAAGGGGAAAGAUUUAUCGCCAAUAGAUCAGCCCGCGUUCGAUUAGCUUGUUGGUGAGGUAAUGGCUCACCAAGGCGACGAUCGAUAGCUGUUCUGAGAGGAAGAUCAGCCACACUGGGACUGAGACACGGCCCCAGACUCCUACGGGAGGCAGCAGUUGGGAAUCUUGGACAAUGGGGGAAACCCUGGAUCCAGCCAUGCCGCGUGAGUGAUGAAGGCCUUCGGGUUGUAAACUCUUUCGCGCACGACGAUAAUGACGGUAGUGCGAGAAGAAGCUCCGGCUAACUUCGCGCCAGCAGCCG